CAGUCGCCACGGUAAUACGUAGGGUGCGAGCGUUAAUCGGAAUUACUGGGCGUAAAGCGUGCGCAGGCGGUUAUAUAAGACAGAUGUGAAAUCCCCGGGCUCAACCUGGGACCUGCAUUAGUGACUGUAUAGCUAGAGUACGGUAGAGGGGGAUGGAAUUCCGCGUGUAGCAGUGAAAUGCGUAGAUAUGCGGAGGAACACCGAUGGCGAAGGCAAUCCCCUGGACCUGUACUGACACUCAUGCACGAAAGCGUGGGGAGCAAACAGGAUUAGAUACCCCCGUAGUCCCUGUCUCUUAUAC
rnacentral:rRNA from 1 species